UCCCACCUCCUCCCGGAAGCCUUCUCUGACUCCCUCACCGGAUCUUUGCCCCCCUGGAUUGCUGAAGGCGCGAUCAAUCUCUGUGUUUCUCAAAAGACAAGGUCCCCCGAAGCAGCAUCACAUUUGUGAUGACAUAAUGCCUGUGAUAUCACCCAACUUUUUACCUGAGUGGAUCUUGUCACCUUACCUAGAAUAUAUGCUCCUUCCAAGCAGGAGUUCCCUGACAUGCCUCAAGACAUCGAGCCCAGGCCCAGCAAGUGCUUCCCUGCCCUUAAUUUUUAAAAUCCAGCUAUGAAUAGCAGCUGUGAUUCAUUUUUUUCCCCAUGCAAGCCACUGCUGGAGCCAUGGGUCUGGAAACAGCCUCUGCAUUAGAGGAGAUUAACCUUCAACUUCAAAACAAAAACAAACAACAACAACAACAUCAACAAAAUCAACAAACUAACCAAGACCUCAUCUGCCUAAGGAGAAAAUCUACAAGGAAAUACACAGACAGGUUAACAUGGUCUUAUUGGGUGAUGGAGUCAGGAAUGAUAUUUUCCAAAUUUCUUGUUACAUGAUUUUAUAACAGGAGAAGAAGUAAAGGCACAGGCUGAUAAUAAAGAUAGCAUGGACCAAAGAGAGAAAGCCCACGGGAGCAAGCCAGACAGAGCUAAUUCCCAGGCCAGGCCAGCCCGAGUGGCCACACUCGGGUGGGGUGUCAGGAGACUGGCUCAGAGGGGACACCUGCUUCCUCCAAAGGCCUGGGGGGUCUGAAGCAGAGGCCCAGGCCAGAGGUGGUGUCCCGCCCUGUGGGGUGAAGGCCACACACGCCCUGGGAAGGGAGGCGGUGGCCCCCGUUCACUGAGCCCAGUAUUUCAAAUAGAUCUCAAACGCUGGGGAAUUCAAGGCAGAUCAAAGGAUGCCCAACUCUAUGCGGUAGGAUGCAAUUUAUAUAUAGUCCUCAUUUCCCCCAAGAGCUGGGAGAGGCAGGGGCAAAAGUCAGGUUUGAGAAGGUUUUAGAUAACUCUUAAAUAAGAGCUCCAUAAAUAGCCAUUUUUAAAGGGAAACUAGGCUGUUCAGGGACAGAAGGAGGGUGAUAUCAGCAAAGACAAGCACGUUUGGCCUCCCGGUCCGCCUCAGGGUUCUGGGCUGGAUGGGUGGGUGCCAGGGGCUGCAUGCCGCGUGCCCUCACUACCCACUCCCAGGCACCAGCCAGGCCCCGCCCCAAGGACGGCAGCUCCUCGGGACAGGACCAAAAGAGGCCCCCCCCGCCCAACAUCUGGCCUCACCGCUGUUGGUAGGCCCUGUGCCCAGGCUUCAGCUCAGGCCCACCUCUGAUCCCACUGUGAUCAAACGUGUCAGCCUGGGCACUGAGCACCACCCCCUGACCCAGAUCCUGGUGUUCUAGCUCCUAACCUGCCACCACCUGGCAGGGUGACCCUGGGCAGGGCAGGCCUCUGUAAAUGAGCCAGAUGAGAGGCUCUCUAUGAAUUCUUCGAGUUCUAAUGCUUCGUCCCACUGCAAGGACACCCUGGUUUCCCGGAGGCCUGGGACUGAGGACUGAAGGGCUGCACAUCCUGGAGAGGCUCUGCUCCAGCUGGCCGGUCCCGGCCAGCACCCACGAGUGCGGCAUGGGGAAAGGACUUGCAGACGAGACCACAGACCUGCUGAGCAAUUCUGGAGGAAUCACGCAUAGCAGCAGAGGGCCAGACAUUUCCGACCAUGAAUUGUGUUUAAAUUUUCCCACAAGGAAAAAAGAUGAAGUCUAGAAACUUUAAAUUGGAAUCUCAAACA